rnacentral:lncRNA from 1 species
CUUCAAUCCCAUUCUUUGAUCAGUAUUUAUGAGAAUAAACGGAUAUUCAUACAUCACUUGGUGAGAAGUAUGGCCUGUUAUAUCAUGAAAGAGAGUCAGAGGAAUGUCAUAGUGGAAUUGAAUGAGAGAUUCACCAAAAUACCUGUCUCGUUUGGAUGUGCAACUGAUUUAGAGUUUGUUCAUAUUCGGAAUUGUGUUAUAGUAGAAAUCUCAGAGGAUCUGUCUCCAAAUUGUCGAAAGUUGUCCACCUUAAUUAUAAAUAAAGUUUCCAUUAAUCAUGUUCCAGAGAGUUUUUUCAAAUAUAUGAAUAGUCUAUCAAUAUUGGAUCUAUCCUUUAAUGAAAGUCUAGUAUCUUUGCCAAACUCCAUCACUAAUUUGAGGUCACUUGUUUCUUUAAUGUUAAAAGGAUGUCGUGCGUUGAAACAUGUGCCCCCAUUGGGAGAACUACAAGCAUUGUCAAGAUUGGUCAUUUCAAAAACUUCCAUUGAGGAAGCACCACAAGGCUUAGAAAAAUUAAACAAUUUGAAAUGGCUUGAUCUAUCCAAAAAUGAAAGAUUGGAUUUGGAAUUAGGGUCUUUCUCAUCCUAUUUGACCAAAUUGCAAUACCUCGAUCUCCGAAACACUCGUGCUGUUAUUAAGGUUGAAGAUGUUCAAAGGAUGAAGAUACUGGAAUGUUUUCGAGGUGCCAUUGACUGCAAUCAAUUCAUGCAAAACAAUCUUGAUAUGAGUUUUGGGCUCAUCAAAACAUAUCAUCUCAUAUUAGGAAAUGUAUGUGGUAAAAGUGAGUGGAAGAGUUGUUCUAAUUUGACUCGUGGUGAUUUUAAAAAUAGGUGUAUAGAAUUCCAAGAUUGUGAUCGUUUCAGCCACAUACUACCUAAAGACCAUACUCUUCUGCUUAUAUACAAGAAUAAUCAUUGGGUUUGGUUAUGUGAUGUUCUUUCAUAUAGCACUUCUUCUUCUGUAAGGACAAUACAAAUUAGUUAUUGUGAUAAACUAGAGAGCUUGUUUUGUUUAUCUGGUUCUUGUUCCUUUUGCACCAAGAUUCACAAGCUGGAAAUUUUGUCUCUUUCACAAUUGAAAAGUUUAACUGUCAUCUGUAAAGACGUUGUUGAUGUUGGACAAUCUUUGUCACCGGUUGGCAUAUUCUCUUGCCUAAAAGAAAUUAACAUUUCUUUUUGCAAUUUGAUAGANNNNNNNNNNNNNNNNNNNNNNNNNNNNNNNNNNNNNNNNNNNNNNNNNNNNNNNNNNNNNNNNNNNNNNNNNNNNNNNNUGAAAGAGAUAUUUGCAGUGAGUAACAAUGAUGACAAUGACAAUUCCAUCAUUACACUUCCCAAGUUGACCAGAUUGGAGUUGAAAGAUUUACCAGAAUUGAAGAUUGUGUGCAAAGGGAUUAUACACUGUGAAUCUUUACCGGAAGUGGACAUCGGUUUCUGCCCAUGGUUAGAUAGGCGCUCAACAAUAGAAAGAUUUAAGAGUCCUUAUUUCUGAUUUAAGAAGUACACUUUUGAUGAAUUUGAAUAGACAAAUAUAUGAAACAAGUAACAUGAAUUAUCAGGUGUGAACGGUAGCGGUCAUAACAGAAGUGUUUGUGAAAGUGAGAUUAAUCAAUUGGUUCGUGAUUUAGAUUUUGAGAAAAAUGAUAUUGCGAAACAACUUCAAUGUUUGGAGUCUCGUAGAAAAAAGCGCAAGUUUGAAGUUGAUUUUUGGUUGGAAGAAUUACAAGAUAUCAAAGAAAGUGUGAGGCAUAUGAAUAACUUAAAUGAUACUCAUCAUGUAAGUGAAUUGAUCCAAAAGAUGAAACGACACAAGGAAGAGAAACCUCUCACUUUGUCAACUGAAUAUGUCGGCUGGAGAUUAGAUGAAAAUAUCAAGAAAGUGUUGAAACUUCUUGAUGAUGACAAAGUCUUUGUCAUUGGGAUAUAUGGAAUGGGAGGAGUAGGAAAAACUUUACUUGCAACUCUCGUGGAAAAUGAAGUCAAAAGGAAAACAACUUUCAAGGAUGUGUUUUGGGUCACUGUUUCUGACAUCACUAACAUCUCAAAAUUGCAAAAUGAUAUUGCAAAAAGAAUAGGUGUAAAGCUUGAUGAAGACGAUGAGAGAAUUAGAGCAUACCAUUUGUCUUCCGCAUUGGAGAAAAAAGAAAAAUCAGUUCUUAUUCUGGAUGAUGUUUGGAGAUACAUUGAUUUAGAAAAGGUGGGAAUUAUUCCAAAAGUGAAUGGCAUUAAAGUGAUUGUGACAUCUCGUUUAGAACAUCUAUGUCACCAGAUGGAUUGUUGGUCAUAUGCUAUAAUACAAAUGUUUCCUUUCAGUUUCCUUCCAGUAUUUCAAGAUGAUGAUGAAGUUGAUCAAGAUCUGGAAUUGUUUAAGCUAAAACUCGGACAUGAUGGAACACCCAAGACACUUCCACAUGAAAUAGAAAAGAUUGCAAGAUGUAUUGUAGAGAGAUUUCAUGGUUUACCUCUUGCAAUUAGUGUGAUGGCUAGAACAAUGAAAGGGAUUGAUGACAUUCAUCAAUGGAAACAUGCAUUGAAUCAACUUAAAAAAUUUGAAAUGGGACCAGAGGUGGAAGAAGAAGUCUUCAAGGUAUUGAAACGAAGCUAUGUUAAUUUGAUGGAUAAGGACUUGCAAAAUUGUUUUUUGUCUUGUGCAUUAUUAUCUAUUGAUCGUUUUGACGAGGAUGGAGGAAUGAUUGACAAACAAGAGUUGAUCAUGAAGCUAGUUGACAAUGGACAAAUAAAUAAGAAUAUUUGUUUGGAAGAAAUAUUUGAUGAAGGGAAUACCAUAUUGAAUAAGCUUGUUUCUCAUUCUUUGAUUCGUUCUGGAUAUUUUUGGGUAUACACACAUCCUUUGGUGAGAAGUAUGGCCUGUUAUACCAUGAAAGAGAGUCAGAGGAAUGUCAUAGUGGAAUUGAAUGAGAAAUUCACCAAAAUACCUCUCUCGUUUGGAUGUGCAACUGAUUUAGAGUUUGUUCAUAUUCGGAAUUGUGUUAUAGAAGAAAUCUCAGAGGAUCUGUCUCCAAAUUGUCGAAAGUUGUCCACCUUAAUUAUAAAUAAAGUUUCCAUUAAUCAUGUUCCAGAGAGUUUUUUCAAAUAUAUGAAUAGUCUAUCAAUAUUGGAUCUAUCCUUUAAUGAAAGUCUAGUAUCUUUGCCAAACUCCAUCACUAAUUUGAGGUCACUUGUUUCUUUAAUAGUAAAAGAAUGUGAUUCAUUGAAACAUGUGCCCCCAUUGGGAGAACUACAAGCAUUGUCAAGAUUGGUCAUUUCAGAAACUUCCAUUGAGGAAGCACCACAAGGCUUAGAAAAAUUAAACAAUUUGAAAUGGCUUGAUCUAUCCAGAAAUGAAAGGUUGGAUUUGGAAUUAGGGUCUUUCUCAUCCUAUUUGACCAAAUUGCAAUACCUCGAUCUCCGAAAAACUCGUGCUGUUAUUAAGGUUGAAGAUGUUCAAAGGAUGAAGAUACUGGAAUGUUUUGGAGGUGCCAUUGACUGCAAUCAAUUCAUGCAAAACAAUCUUGAUAUGAGUUUUGGGCUCACCAAAACAUAUCAUCUCAUAUUAGGAAAUGUAUGUGGUAAAAGUAAGUGUAGGAGUUUUAUUAAUUUGACUCCUGGUUCUGAAAAUAGGUGUAUAGAAUUCCAAGAUUGUGAUCUUUUCUGCCGCAUACUACCUAAAGACCAUACUCUUCUGCGUAUAUGCAGCUUAUGCAAGAAUAAUCGUAAUCCUUGGGAUUCUAUUCAACAAAUAAAUCAGAGUAUAAAUCAGAGUAUGUUCAAUCAGAAUUUCUAUUCAUUUAAAUAAGUUUUAAUUUGUUUUUACAUGUCGAAGUUACAAGUUGUAUUCCUUUUGGAGCCAGAAUAUGUAUUCAUUUUGUCCUUGAUAAUUUAUUUUUUCUUCAAUUUUUUUUAUGAACAUAAGAUAAGAAAAAGUGAAUUUAGGUGGCUUUUGUCAUGCACAUACACAAGAAGUAACCAUAAUCACUUAAAAUUUCACAUCAAUAUAGAACUUUGAAGGAUAUAUAUUCUAGUCUCUGAAUUUGAUCUUGAUUAACUCCUUUUAAACUUUUGUGAUUGUUUCACUUUUCUCUAAAAUAUUUUAUAGUUGAAAACAGAUUAAAUAUUUACAUUCUUGUAUAGAUAAAGAAACCAGAGUCAUAUGCUGCCUUUUGAAAUAUCCUCCUGCCUAGACAUAUACUUCCACCCUAAUCAAUGCAAUUUUUUAACUAUUUUAUUCCACCAAGAGCAGCAUUGUGUUUAUCAACAAGAUUUUAAUUCUCAACCUACAAUGAAUCCUAGCUGAAAUUUAAAUUCAACCUAACUUCUUCCAAUUUCUUGAAUAUUUAAAAGCAUACAUCCAUCUAAUGACUGUUUUAAUUUUUUAAUGACAACCGUAAUGCAAAAAAAUAACUGAAUAAAAUUCUCAUUUUUUUUAAACUAAAAGUAUCCUUCGCGCGUAACUACAGAGACUAAUGCCUAACUUAAGUCACUUUAACAUUAAUAUACCUGUGAUAAUAUAAUUGGGCCUCCUUGUGAAGCAUAUAAUCCCUCUUCUUUCGUCAUGUUCACAAUUUUUGUCGUAAAAUUUUGCAUGUAGAACUAAACAUUGAAAUAUAUAUAGAUAUUAAACAGGGAUAUAAGAUAGUAAAUACAUAAUUAUUGUAAAAAAAAAUAAAAAAUGAACAUACGCGCCGGUCGAGAUCGAAUCCAGGACCAAAUGAUUAAGUGACCUAAGUAUCUACCACUUAUGUCACACUAUGUUGGUAAAUUCUCAUUUAUCUAUUCGUAUCGAGUACGAGAAUUUUUUUAUAAGAAAACAACUUUACAUUUUUGAAAAAUCACACAUGAACAACAAUUUUAUAUAAGCAACUUUACAUUUUUGAAAUAUCACACUUGAGCAACAAUUUUAUAUAUACGUAAGAUAAUUAUACUUGAAUGAAAGAUAAACGGGGAACAAGCUGCACCGCUAUCCUUUUUGGAUGACAAAACCAACUCUGUUAAACUUAACACUACAUCUGAGACUUAUGAGACACCACAUUGCUAUGCAUUUUUUGGACUAUUUUCAAAAUAGCCACAGUCUCUGGUGCUAGAAAACCAAAAGUGUCAAACCUAAAAAUUAUAAACACAUGUUGAUUGUUAGAACACGCUAUUUCUUGUUUAACCACUUUACUUAAAACAACUUUAAAAACCGUCUAUCCUACUGUAAAAUCUCCUGUCGAAGUAUAUUUUCAUUUUCAUAAACACAUAGUUGAACGACACAAAUUAAAUACUAAAUUACCGAUUGUUAAAAAUUGACACAUCUUAAUUUAAUGGACAAUUCAUGUAAUUGUUAAAAACUAUCCAAUACUAAUUUGCCAAUUGUUAAAAAUUGCCACAUCUUAAGUUAUUCUUAAUUCUAAUAAAAAAAUUAAUAUAUGAGUAUAAAUAUACAGUUCUCGUAGAUGUUAUAAAUGAAUGGACAAACUUAUUAGGAAAUGGAUUCUCUCAAGUGUGAUUUACACUUGAGAGAAUAAAGUGUAAUCUAACACCAUCUAAAUUCAUUUUCUCUAAAUUUUUAUAUGUUUCUCUCUCUCUUGAUCAAUGGUAACAAACCACACUUUAUUCUCUCAAAUGUAAAUUACACUUGAGAGAAUCCAUUCCCAACUUAUUAACAUGGGUAAAACACAUAUGCCCUGCAUAAAUCACACAAAAAAUUAAAUUAUUGUAUUAAUAUAUGAGUAUAAAUAUAUGUCAUGUGAAAAUUAUGAAAGAAUGGGCAAGAUUAUUAAUAUAUUAAUAAAAAACAUAGAUUUAGUAAAAAUCAACAAAAUAAUUAGGUCCAUGUAUUAACAUAUGAUCUAGUAUAACCAGUGAAAUUAUAAAAAAAAUAAACAACUUUAUUAAUAUAUGAUUAAGAUAUUAAAAUGUGGAUUUAAUUUAAGUACACUAUCAAUGUAAAGUUAUUUUACACAUGCGUCCAAUAAUAUACCAACACAUCAUUGCAAAAAAACUUUAAAUGAUGUGGCAAUACAUCAUUGGAUGCAUGUGUAAAAAAAAAAUUACACUGACAGUGUACAUAAAUUAAACUCUAAAAAUAUAUGGCUCGUAGAUAUAACAAAACAAAAUUAUGUUCCCGGAUUAAUAUGAAAAUAACCUGUAAAAUUAUUACAAAAAAAUAGACAACUUAAUAUAUAUUAGUAAAAACACAAGUUUCGUGAUAUGUUAGUAAAAAUAUAGGUCUCACAACAAUCAUCAAAAUAAUUAGGUCAUCGUAUUAAGUAUGAGUAUAACCCGUGAAAUUGUAAAAAAAAUAGAAAAAAUUAUUUAUUUUUGUUACAAACAUCUUAAUUAAUAUCUAUAACAAUAAUAAAGGGAAAACAUUUCUUUUGCUGUAGCCUUUUUUUAAAAUUCCCAAAUUAUCCUUAUUGACACUCUAACUUCCAAAACCAACUCUCUUCUAAAACCAACUCUCUACUAACUUCCAAAAUUAACCAACUACUCUUCAUUUCUUCUUCAUAUUCAUACUACAAAAAAUUUGCCUUUUAGCGGCGGUUUUUUAGUGGCGGUUUAUCAAAACCCCCGCAGAAUACUGCAAAAUUGAGAUGCGCAUAAAUUUUUCUUUUAGUANNNNNNNNNNNNNNNNNNNNNNNNNNNNNNNNNNNNNNNNNNNNNNNNNNNNNNNNNNNNNNNNGUCGGUGUCACUCGAAACUCAGUAUUCCGCCGUCUCCGCCGUCGUCGCCGCUUCUCUGGCCUCAGUUAGUGAACUCACAACUUCCAGGUUCGAUUUCGUUAGAAAAGGAAACACAUCAGUGUUGUUCGAUUUCGUUAACCUCAAUGUCUAUUCAAUUUAUGAUUUCUAUUCGGUUUCUAUUUAUGAUUUCAUUAACAUCCAUUUUUCAUUUCAAUUUCAACUUAGGGUUUCUUACUUUUCUCUACUUAGGAUUUCCUUCUUCGUAUCAGUGAAUUGAUUUGUCAUUGAAAAGAUUGAAAUGUUGCAUGUGUGCAUCCUGUGUGCUUUUUGUAGGACUGGUUAGAUGAAUAAGUGCAUAUAGUGCUGGUUGAUUGAAGGUUGAUUGUUAGAGGAAGUGAGUAACAACAAGAAAGAAUCAUUUGAGCUAAGCAUUCUCACUUUUUUUUGAGUUUUGUCGAGUGCACAUAAACUGUUUGAUAAAAGUUCUUAAUGGUUGGUUUUUCUUAAAUUAUUAGGUAACUAUGAGGAAAAAAAUCACUAUUUUUUCCCCUUUUUGAUUUUUCCACUUUUUUUAACCGAGUGAGUUUCAUAUUUACUGCUUAAUUUUCUGUUAGUAAUUUGAGAUUAAUGUGUGGUACAUAAUUUCACUGUUUUGGCAUAGAGAAUUACAUUUNNNNNNNNNNNNNNNNNNNNNNNNAUUUGAGAUCUAAUUACACAUAGAGAAUUACUAAAAAUCAAAUCUAUUUGUGUAAUUUGAGAUUAAUGUGUAAUUCUCUAUGCCAAUAUACAAAUUAUGCCAAUAUAUUUGAGAUUAAUAUGUAAUUUGAGAUGUAAUUUGGCAUAGAGAAUUAUGUUUUGGCAUAGAAAAUUACACAAAGCAUAUAUAGUGCAAAAUAAACAAUUACACAAAUAUAUUUGAUUUUUAGUUUCUCUAUGUUGAAUAUAAAUNNNNNNNNNNNNNNNNNNNNNNNNNNNNNNNNNNNNNNNNNNNNNNNNNNNNNNNNNNNNNNUUCUUUCUACUCUUAUCCUUUUAGUUUUUGGAAUUUAAUGGAUUUAUGGAUUGAUCGAUGGAUUGUUACACUCCUAAAAGGGGUAGUUUAGCUGAUAAUUUAUUUGUGUUUCUAGUAUGAUUUGGUGUUUGGUCAGUGCAGAUGGAAUUGUAAUCUACGCCAAUGUGAUUUUAAAAUGGAGAAGCUGGUCUUAAGUUAUUUUCAAACUUUUAGCCUUGUAAUAGGUGUAUGCACAACUUUAACCUCAGGUAACAACCUCACAAUUUUGGGAUAUUCUUCUACUUGUUGAGAAGAUCUGCUUGUAAGUUGAGUUUUUGUACGUGGUAUUNNNNNNNNNNNNNNNNNNNNNNNNNNNNNNNNNNNNNNNNNNNNNNNNNUUGAAGUUCCAGAGAUUGAGUGAUGUUCUUUAUCAUACAAUAUCACAAUGUAUUGCACUUCCAACAUUAAUUGUAUAUCAAUUUUAAAAGGCAAUAGUGUGAGAUUUCUUUUUAACAAAGCUUAAUCUCAUUCAUUGGUGGCUUCUCCAUAAUCCUGCCUUUAUUAAUAACUUAUCUAACUCUAAUUGUCGUUUUUUACCUUUACAUUGCAGGCCACAACAUGCAACUCAGGUCUUUGACAUCAUUGAGGACUUUUACAUUGGAGACUUGGAGUAAUAGCUAUACUAUGUUUGGAUUUCCAUUGCAAACUUAAGUUUCGGUCCAAAAGUAUGUUUUCCUCAAAAAAAAAGAACUAUAAAUAUUUUGGCUUCAUUUGUACUCUUGCGGUUUCUAAGCGACGUUGGCUGGUUUGUAACAUUCAAGAAAUUUGUGAUUUUACAAUUCCAAUAUUCUAUUUCAGGUUGCCCUUCAUUUUUGCAAGUUAAUGGUGGUUCAUCAGAUUCUAAUAUCGAAGUUCAGAAUGAGAUUGUUCAUUGGCAUAAUAGGUAGUAAUAAUAAUAAUUGUUUUAGAAUUAAUUUGUGUAGUAAGUGUAGUAGAUGUUACAAUUAUUGUGCUGUUUUUUGGAUUGAAGUUUUUUAUCUUACUUGCAUCCUAUGUAGCAAUCUUCAAGGGAACCUUCUACGUUAUAUUUAUUUGUGUUCGUACAUGUUUAUGUUUCACUUUGUUUAGGAUGUUGUUACUUGAACUUAUAUUUCCUACCAUCUUUGAUUGAUCAAUUUUAAUGAUCUAAUUUGCAGGAAUUAUAAUCAAUGUGUCAUUUGAAAUGUGAGUGUGUCAUUAAUUUGAAGCAUUAAUGCUGAACUGAUAUUGGAAUGNNNNNNNNNNNNNNNNNNNNACUUCAAUUUCCCUGGGUGUUUAUUUGAAGUUAUUUUUGCUUUUUUUGGUGUGAAUAAAAUGAGUAUAUUGGUGAUAAAUCAUUUUCCUACUCUGUAGUUUUUAAACUUGAUUGCUCAUUUAGAUGUGAAGCCUUCAAAAGACCAUGAAUGCUAGAAGCAUGAGGCAGAACCAUAUAUGUUGUUAGGAUCAAGGAGGUGAUGGUAAGGCUAUAACUAUGUGUUGUACUUUUUCCACAGGAUCAAGGUCGAGGUGGGUGUUUAUUUGAAGUUAUUUUUGCUUUUUUGUGUGAAUAAAAUGAGUAUAUUGGUGAUAGAUCAUUUUCCUACUCUAUAGUUUUUAAACUUGAUUGCUCAUUUGGAUGUGCAGCCUUCAAAAGACCAUGAAUGCUAGAAGCAUGAGGCAGAACCAUAUAUGUUGUUAGGAUCAAGGAGGUGAGGGUAAGACUAUAAUUAACUAUGCGUUGUACUUUUUCCACAAGAUCAAGGUNNNNNNNNNNNNNNNNNNNNNNNNNNNNNNNNNNNNNNNNNNNNNNNNNNNNNNNNNNNNNAUGAGUUGCUUUUGCUCUCAAGUGGGUAAGAUUUUUUUUAAAGAGAAGCAAAGAUGGCUCUGAAGGUAGGCACUUUGAAAAUUGAGUUUUACAUCAUGGAUAUGGUCACUGUGACAGCUGCAGGCAUCAUCAGAGAGAGAAACUUGAAGGAGAAAGUGUAAUAUUACAAUGAAAUCUAGUGGUACUGAAUUAUCAAUUAUUUGGCAUGUGAUAUACAUCUAUAUAUUUACUAUUUUCAUUUUUUAUAUUAAUUUAGUAUAUAAUUUUUUUUUGGUACAUUAGUAUAUAAUAAUUUAUUUGGGUAAUUAUGAAUUUUUUAUGUUUAUUUGUUGUACAUUUUGUCCUACUGUGACUAUAUUUUAUGAAAGUUUGAGCAUUGUAAUAAUUUGAAUAAAAAAAACUGUGUUAAUUUAUUUACUCAUAUUUACUAUUUUGCGGGGGUUCUAAACUCCCGCAAAAUAACCUCCGCGAAUUAAACGUGAUACCAGCGGUUUCAAGAAACUGCCGCAAUUAAUCAUAAAACCNNNNNNNNAAUCAUAAAACCGCCACAACUAUUCUCUGGGAACCUAUACCGCGGCAGUUUGAAAAAAUCCCCAAAAUAGUUUGUGGAGGUUUGAAACUCCCGCUAGAUAGUCUCAAAACAUGUUUUCUAUUAAGAAUUUGAGUUUUAUAUUAUGAUGGCGACACAAUAAACAUAUUCAGGUUUGUCUUUGUAUUGGUUUAGUCUUUAUUUUCUUCAACAAGACAUGAAAUUGGUUAUAUAUUACAUAAAUUUCAAAACACUAAAUAGAGAGUAUGUGAUAAUUAAUAUGUUGGUACGCAUUGCUCCUAAGUAUACAAUCAUGGGCUGCUUUGGGAUGGUCUACCGUAUUCUAAUUGAAUAUAAGACUGAGCAUCCUAUAUAUUUCAUUUUUAUUCCUUUUCUCAAUGUAUUUUUUUUUAUCUUCG